GGGUCAUUCCCCCGACUGAAAACAGUCUUUUAGUUACACUACUGAACUCUGUUUUCCGUAGCUUUGUGUGUAUUGGAGCCAUUACCUUCCAAACUGUUACUGUUUUGUGGGUUGUAAUCCCUUCACCUUCCGAAAAAGCACCAGUCAUAGAACCACAGAGCCAUAGAACCAUAGAAUCACAGAACCACUAAGAUUGGAAAAGACCUCCAUGAUCAUCCAGUCCAACCUUCUACCUACCACCAAUAUUUUCCCACUAAACCACGUCCCUCAAGUACAGCAUCUGAAUGUUUCUUGAGCACCUCCAAGGACAGUGACUCCAUCAUCUCCCUAAGCAUCCUGUUACCAUGCUUGACAACUCUCUUGGAGAAAAAGUAUUUCCUAACAUCCGACCUGAAUCUCAUCUGAAUCUCCCCUGGUGCAAUGUGAGGCCCUUCCCUCUAGUCCUAUCACUAGUUACAUGGGAGAAGAGGCCAACCUCCAUCUCACCACAACCUUCUUUCAAGUUGUUGUAGAGAGUGAUAAGGUCUACCCUGAGCCUCUUCUUCUCCAGACUAAAUAUUCCCAGAUCCCUCAGCCACUCCUCGUAAGACUUGCGCUCCAGACCCCUCACCAGCUUCACUGCCCUUCUCUGAACAUGCUCCAGGGCCUCAAUGUCUUUCUUGGAAUGAGGAGCCCAAAACUGAACACAGUACUCAAAGCGUGAUCUCACCAGUGCCAAGUACAGGGGAAUUAUUACUUCCCUGCUCCUGCUGGCAACACUAUUUCUGAUACAAGCUAGGAUGCCAUUGGCCACCUUGGCCACCUGGUCACACUGCUGGCUCAUGUUCAUUUGAGAGUCAAUCAAUACCCCCAGGUCCAUUUCCUCUACACAGUCUUCCAGCCACUCUGCCCCAAGCCUGUAGUGUCGCCUGAGGUUGUUGUGGCCAAAGUGCUGGACCCAGCACUUGGUCUUGUUGAACUUCAUCCCACUGGCCUCAGCCCAGCUACCCAGCCUGUCCAGAUUGCUCUAUAGGGCCUUCCUACCCCCAGGCAGAUCAACGCUUCUCCCCAGCUUGGUGUCAUCUGCAAACUUACUGAGGGUACACUCAAUGCCCUCAUCCAGGUCAUCAGUAAAGAUAUUGAAAAGGACAAGCCCCAGUACCAACCCCUUGGGAGCACCACUCAUGACUGGUCAACAGCUAGAUGUGACUCCAUUUACCACUGCACUCUGAGGCCAGCCAUCCAGCAAGGUGUGUACCUGUCCAAGACACGGGCUGUCAGGUUUCCCAGAAGAAUACUGUGAGAGACAGUGUCAAAGGCUUCACCAAAGUCUAGGUAGACCACAUUAACAGCCUUUCCCUCAUCCACCAGGCAGGUCAAUUGAUCAUAGAAGGAGUUCAGGUUGGUCAAGCAGGACCUGCCUUUCAUGAAUCCAUGCUGGCUAGGCCUGAUCCCCCUAGUUGUCCUGCACAUGCCAUGUGAUCUCCCUCAAGACGAUCUACUCCAUAACCUUCCCUGGCACCAAGGUCAGGCUGACAGGCCUGUAGUUCCCCGGAUCUUCUUUACAACCCUUCUUGUAGAUGGGAGUCAUGCUGGCAAGACUCCAAUCCUCUGGGACCAGGAAUGCUGACAGAUGGUGGAAAGUGGCUUGGCAAUCACCUCUGCCAGCUCCCUCAGCACCCUCAGGUGGAUCCCUUCCAGCCCCCAUGGACUUGUGGCAGUCCAGGUAGAGUAGUAGGUCUCUGACAGUUUCUACCUGAAUCACCAAGCAUCUGUCUACAGACGUGUUUUGUUGUGUUUGCCUCUGCUAGAAUAAUUUAGUAAAUCUCUUAUGAAUCUUUCAAGAAAUAACAUUUUGGUUCAGAUUCAGAAAGGACUGUGGAAAUUCCACUCCCAGAACCAAGUUGCUUAACUGCAGAUACUCCAGGGCUUUUUGUGGCCACGCUUCCAUCCAUUUGUGUGUAUUCAGCACUGUCAAGUUUGUACUAUCAAAAUUCUCCUAGACAUGCAGGGAGACAGGGAAUGCUUCUGCACUGGGCCAAAGCCUGAAGAAAAUAUUUGGUGUACACCUGUGUAUAACACAACAGAAUGGAUACAUUCCAUCCUGGUGUUGAAGAAGGUCUGAGCUGUAGCAUCAAGCUGCCACACUCCAUUGCUCGAGGACUUUAUGUAUUUGAUGCACUUAACUGGUGGGUCCCAGAACAACUUGCAUGCAAAUCUGCUGACCCUCCCUCACUUGACAUGACCUUUUGAUACCCUGGUACCUGAGUGACUGACGGGAGCACAUCUUGCAAGGAGUGGCAGCUCUGCUGCUGCAACAAAGCCCUUUCACCAACUAUUUUUUUAAGGAAAGAAGCACCUACACCAACAUGAGGACAAAUUUUCCGUGAUGAACAGUGUGGCAUAAUUCAGGCUAUAAGGAAUCUCCAGAGAAAUUGGUCUACAAGUGGAUGUCUGCUGAGACUUCACCACUUAUGCACACAAAUUUUCUUACAUUUCCAGAUAUUUGUGAAUUUACUUGUUGUUUGAAGUAACAAAGACAAAAUAAGGACAGUGGACGUCUUUAAUUAGUAAAAUUACUAAUAACUCCACUACUUCUGAGACUGGAGUUUCUCUUUGGACUCACCAGAGGCAGGCUGGAAGGGAAAGGGUUUCCCCCAGCCAUCCAAAGAUAGACAUCUAGUGCUAGAGCCAAGGUGAUGUAGGAGAUUUGUCAAUCCUACAUGGUGCUGGAAGAUGUGACAGAUAGACCUGUGUCCUUUUGGAGAUGCAGCUGCAGGCUAGGUGUCAUAUCCUUCACUAUCUCAAAUGGCACUUUGUUUUGGCAGCUAACACAGUCCUCAGCAGUACGUGGCCCUUUUGCCUAUUUCCUUUCCUUGUCCUUGACUGGGAAGCAGCACUAACAGGAGCAAGUUUUCUUCUUCUUUUUUCUCUCUCCUUACUAACAGAACCACUAAUGGAAACUUGAGUCCUGCAGUAAUUAUUACUCUGACCUGAAGCACAAGCUCAUUGAGGGGAGUCAACUAGCAAUGAUUUUCAGUCACAAGUGAUUUGAAUGAUUUUGAACCAGUGACCUAGCUGUAGAAGGUGAAUGUUGCUAUAAUUAUUUAUCUAAGCAAUCUUCUUCCCCCUCAGUUAGUUUGUUUUACUAUUCUUCUCACAGUUUCAUAAAAGACACAAGACCUGUGUAUCUGAAGGCAAGUCUAAAUUGAUUGUUGUUUAAUCACCAAACCCGUGUCUACACAUGAAACGAGGAGGCUUGAGCUAAUGAGGAUCUGAGGUAGUGAAUCUUUCUACUGCAGCUCUAUACACAGUUUAAUACAUCCUACUGCAGACAUGAUAUCGAAUGAGUGUCCAGAUCCGCUCUUUUAAAUUCUGCAAGGAAUUCAGUUACAAGGUUUUGACAUACCAUUGCAGAUUUGUGCUAGUUUAGGUAUCUCUUCACUAUUUCAAUGUGUAGACCCAUUGCCUGUAAUUUGCCAGGUGUCAUGAGUCCUGCUCUACUUUUGAACCCAUUUAUUUUAUUAACAUAUUAGGUCCUGCUGCACAAGAUACAGAUUUCUCAUGUUGCCCAAAACCAGCUUGGACAGCUUGGUGUUAUCUUUUGUUUUAUCAGUUUGGAUUGACAAGUUAUUUGAAGGAUGACAGUGCUCAAGUUUUGAGAGAGCCAUCCAUUUGAGCAUCAUUCCAGAAUAUGACAUAGUAGAGCUACUUAGGAAAUCUCAAAAAGCCUUUUGGAAAACUGAAGCCUCCUUUACACUUCUCAGUAUGGUCCCAGCACUGUAGGAACUCUGCUCUUCAG
ensembl:lncRNA